GUUCUUGGUCUGUCUCCUCCCCUCUCACUGCAGACAUGAAACACUGGCUGAGAAACAUCCUGAUUCUGACUCUCUGGAUAGAGUGUAAAGGAGAAGACAAAGUGACCCAGCCAACAGGAGAUGUCACUGCUGUUCAAGGACUCACACUGACUCUACAAUGUACAUUUGAGACCAGCAGCACUAAUCCAACUUUGUUUUGGUACAAAAAGGAAGUGAAUGAUUAUCCCAGAUACAUGCUUUAUAAACACAAAUCAGGAUCAGAAACAGUUAAAGCUCCUGAGUACCAGGACGUCAGAUUUGAUGCCAAGAACAACCAGACCUCAUUUCCUCUGAAGAUCCAGAAGCUUCAUGUGUCAGACUCUGCUGGGUACUACUGUGCUGUGAGGCCCACAGUGACAGGAAACAGCAAAACUCUGAACAAAAACCUCUGGAGCAAAGACAACACAGUACUACACAACAUCCACUAGAGGGCGACAUCAUCAGGUCGGUGCUGCGUGACUUGUGCACUGUGUUCAACCAUUCAGUCAAUAAUAACUGCUGCUGUGCAGAGAACAGUUCUCACACUGAAUGUUGAACAUCAGCCACUUUGUCCUGUUGAUUUC